rnacentral:lncRNA from 1 species
GCACUUCUACUCCAGUUUAUUGUACUGAACUUCAGCCAAGCAAGGCCCCUAAACCAGGCCAGAUACAGAGGCCAACACCAAGGCCGUCUCUGCCAUGGCGGGUAUAAAAUCGAAACAGUAAAAAUUCAUUCAAGCCUGGGGUGGUGGCACACACCUGUAAUCUCAGAGCUCUGGAGGCAGAGGCAGGAGGAUCGCCUUGAGUUCAAGGCCAGCCUGGGCUACAUAGCGAGACGCUGUCUCAGAAAACAAAAAACAAACAAAAAAACAGGGGCAAAAAGAUAAGAUAUUAGAUUUAAGAGGGGCUUUAAUGCAGGGCAGACAGGGAAGGGGUUUGGAGUGGAGACUUCAGGAAGGAAGACAGGCAGUCAGUGAGGUUUGUGACACACCCAAAGUUCCAAAUGGUGAUGAAAGAACAAUGGAUUUUGUGCAAGAAGUGGCUUCGUCCAAUUGUCCAAUUUUCAUCUUGUUUGUUGGUUUGUUUGUUUGAGACAGGGUCUCUCCAGGUAUCUCAGGCUGUCCUCGAACUCAUGGCGAUCCUCCUGCCUCAGCCUCUGGAAUGCUGGGAUUACAGCGCAGGGCAGACCCGGGUGGAACACCGGACGAGGGACUGUAUCCUGGGGACAGAGCCACGGGAGAGGCCGAAGAGAAGACCCGAGCUUCCUGGUUGCCACGGAUUGAGCAUCUUUCCUCUGCCAUUUCCUCCUACCACGCCACGCCUGCCUUAGAAACAGCCACCUAUGGACUGAAUCCAUAAAAUGUGAACCAGAACAGACCUCUCCUUCUUGUUUGUUUUUGGUACCGGAGAUCGAACUCAGGACGUCCACGCUUAGGGAGGCAGGUGGUGGAAGCACUGAGCUAAAUCCCCAGCCC